CCUACGGGAGGCAGCAGUGGGGAAUAUUGGACAAUGGGCGAAGCCUGAUCCAGCCAUGCCGCGUGAGUGAUGAAGGCCCUAGGGUUGUAAAGCUCUUUCACCGGUGAAGAUAAUGACGGUAACCGGAGAAGAAGCCCCGGCUAACUUCGUGCCAGCAGCCGCGGUA
rnacentral:rRNA from 1 species